rnacentral:rRNA from 1 species
ACACGGGUGCGUAACGCGUAUGCAAUCUACCUUAUACAGGGGGAUAGCCCAGAGAAAUUUGGGAUUAAUACCCCAUAGUAUAAUUGAAUGGCAUCAUUUAAUAUUAAAGUUCCAACGGUAUAAGAUGAGCAUGCGUCCCAUUAGCUAGUUGGUGUGGUAACGGCACACCAAGGCGACGAUGGGUAGGGGUCCUGGAGAGGGAGAUCCCCCACACUGGUACUGAGACACGGACCAGACUCCUACGGGAGGCAGCAGUGAGGAAUAUUGGUCAAUGGGCGCAAGCCCUGAACCAGCCAUGCCGCGUGCAGGAUGACGGUCCUAUGGAUUGUAAACUGCUUUUGUACAGGAAGAAACACUCCCUCGUGAGGGAGCUUGACGGUACUGUAAGAAUAAGGAUCGGCUAACUCCGUG